rnacentral:tRNA from 1 species
GCGGGCGUAGCUUAGCCCGGAUAAAGCGUCUGCCUGUCACGCAGAAGAUCACGGGUUCAAAUCCCGUCGCCCGCG